UUGACGGAGAGUUUGAUCCUGGCUCAGGACGAACGCUGGCGGCGUGCUUAACACAUGCAAGUCGAACGGGAUCCAUGCAGUAGCAAUACUGCGGAAGAUCUAGUGGCGAACGGGUGAGGAACACGUGAAGAACCUGCCCCGAACUCUGGGAUAACAGUUGGAAACGACUGCUAAUACCGGAUGCCGUUGUCGGAGUCACAUGGCUCUACAACGAAAGUUUUUCGGUUCGGGAGGGCUUCGCGGCCUAUCAGCUAGUUGGUGAGGUAACGGCUCACCAAGGCAUCGACGGGUAGCUGGUCUGAGAGGAUGAUCAGCCACACUGGGACUGAGACACGGCCCAGACUCCUACGGGAGGCAGC
rnacentral:rRNA from 1 species